GAUGAAGAACGCAGCGAAAUGCGAUAAGUAGUGUGAAUUGCAGAAGUACCGUGAAUCAUCGAAUCUUUGAACGCAAAUUGCACUCUCUGGUAUUCCGGGGAGUAUGCCUGUUUGAGGGUCGCUUAACAAACCAUCGAUUUCGUUGCUUUUUUUUUAAAAGUGAUGUUUAUCGGAUUUGAGCCGUCUUUUUUUUUAUAUUUAAGUGGCUUAAAAUUGAUUUUUUUGGUACGAUCGAAGCGUAUUUUUAUGAUCAAUUUUUGGUUAAAGAAACGCACACGUACCGUUAUUUAUAUGAUGUAAUACGUUUGACUAUUGGAUUUAGUUCAUUCGUAUACGAUAUCUUUCAAUAUUUGACCUCAAAUCAGGUAAGAACACCCGCUGAACUUAAGCAUAUCAAUAAGCGGAGGA
rnacentral:misc_RNA from 1 species